UAUAAUUGUAAUCGUUUAUGAGCUACUCAAUUAUACAUAUGGUUCAAAUCUUUUGUUCUCUACUUCAGCCAGAGCAUUCUUACAUCUAUGUUAUCAUUGAUCGUAUCAAAUGUCCCAAAUAUUUUCAGGUAGAAAAUUCAGACAUUGAAGCAAGAUGGGAAGAUCAAGCUUCAGAUUAUACUUUGGUCCACCAGGCGGCAAUGGUCUUCAAAUGUCUUCUGCUGAUGUAUUACAAGAAUAGCAGAGUGCGGAACUAUCGGCCAACUUUAAAGUUUGUUGGAAUAUCUUUUACUGCUAUGUAUAUGGUGCUUUGCUCCCAGCUCCAGUUUGGUAUCGUUUCUUUUUGAACAAGGAGUAUGGAAGCCUCUUUUCUUCCUUAAUGACCGGGCUGUAUCUAACUUUCAAGCUCACUUCUGUUGUUGAGAAGGUCCAAUCCUUUUUCACAGCUUCGCAGGCGCUGUCACGUAAGGAGAUUCAUUAUGGAGUAUAUGCAACUUCUGAACAGGUAAUAUGGGUUUAUUUAUGUUAUGAACUGAAGCAGUCAGAUGAUUGUAAUUGAAAGAGCUGUUUUAUUUAGCUUCAAGUAAUCAAAAUAAAUAGAGUAGCAGUAUAACUGAAAUAGAAAAAUGACUGCCGAAAAAACGGCAUAAUGCCUAGAAAAGAGGAACAACUAAACUAGGAUAAUGACUAAAAAUAAACUGCUAUCCUAAAAAUCUGUUGAGGUUUUUUGACCCAUUCCUAACAGCUACUGAAACACAGUAACAUCUCCUCCUGGAUCAGGAGCUGCAAAUUCCCAGCUUUUCUCUAAGAAACUCGAACCUGCUAACAUGAAAUGACUUGGUAAA